CCUGGCUCAGGAUGAACGCUAGCGACAGGCCUAACACAUGCAAGUCGAGGGGCAGCGCGGGAGAAGCUUGCUUUCCUGGCGGCGACCGGCGCACGGGUGCGUAACAGGUGUGCAAUCUGUCCAUAGUCGGGGGAUAGCCCAGCGAAAGCUGAAUUAACACUCCAUGUGAAUCGAAGCCGCAUGACUUUGAUUUGAAACGCGAGGACUAUGGGUGAGCACGCUUCUGAUUAGCUAGUUGGUGGGGUAACGGCUCACCAAGGCGACGAUCAGUAGGGUUCUGAGAGGAAGGUCCCCCACAUUGGAACUGAGACACGGUCCAAACUCCUACGGGAGGCAGCAGUGAGGAAUAUUGGUCAAUGGGCGAGAGCCUGAACCAGCCAAGUCGCGUGAAGGAUGGAGGUUCUAUGGAUUGUAAACUUCUUUUGUCCGAGGGUAAAAAAGGCCACGUGUGGCUUCUUGCAAGUAUCGGACGAAUAAGCAUCGGCUAACUCCGUGCCAGCCGCCGC
rnacentral:rRNA from 1 species